GUCCGAACGGAGUUAAUUGGUAGCACAGAGGAUGCAGGGGGAGCUGUAUAUUCUGUGCUAUCAGUUAACUUAGUGGCGGACGGGUGAGUAACACGUAGGUAACCUGCCUUAAAGUGGGGGACAACUCUUCGAAAGGAGAGCUAAUACCGCAUAAGCUCACGGACUGGGAUGUCUGUGAGAAAAGGAGCAAUUCGCUUUAAGAGGGGCCUGCGGCCUAUCAGGUAGUUGGUGAGGUAACGGCUCACCAAGCCAAAGACGGGUAGCCGGACUGAGAGGUUGAACGGCCACACUGGAACUGAGACACGGUCCAGACUCCUACGGGAGGCAGCAGUGGGGAAUUUUGCGCAAUGGGGGAAACCCUGACGCAGCGACGCCGCGUGAAGGAUGAAGGUCUUCGGAUUGUAAACUUCUUUUGUUGGGGAAGAUAAUGACGGUACCCGAUGAAUAAGCCACGGCUAACUCUGUGCCAGCAGCCGCGGUAAGACAGAGGUGGCAAGCGUUGUUCGGAAUUACUGGGCUUAAAGGGCGCGUAGGCGGUGGAGUAAGUCUGAGGUGGAAGGUCAGGGCUUAACCCUGAAAUUGCCUUGGAAACUGCACCACUUGAGUCAGCAAGGGGAUGGCGGAAUUCCCAGUGUAGCGGUGAAAUGCGUAGAUAUUGGGAGGAAGGCCGGUGGCGAAGGCGGCCAUCUGGUGCUGAACUGACGCUGAGGCCGCGAAAGCGUGGGG
rnacentral:rRNA from 1 species